rnacentral:rRNA from 1 species
UACGUAGGGUGCAAGCGUUGUCCGGAAUUAUUGGGCGUAAAGAGCUCGUAGGCGGUUUGUUGCGUCGGCUGUGAAAUCCCGAGGCUCAACCUCGGGUCUGCAGUCGAUACGAGCAAACUAGAGUGUUGCAGGGGAGACUGGAAUUCCUGGUGUAGCGGUGAAAUGCGUAGAUAUCAGGAGGAACACCUGCGGUGUAGACGGCUUACUGGACCAUCACUGACGCUGAGGCACGAAAGCGUGGGUAGCAAACAGG